rnacentral:rRNA from 1 species
AGCUGGUUCUCACCGAAAGCUAUUUAGGUAGCGCCUCGUGAACUCAUCUUCGGGGGUAGAGCACUGUUUCGGCUAGGGGGUCAUCCCGACUUACCAACCCGAUGCAAACUACGAAUACCGAAGAAUGUUAUCACGGGAGACACACGGCGGGUGCUAACGUCCGUCGUGAAGAGGGAAACAACCCAGACCGCCAGCUAAGGUCCCAAAGUCAUGGUUAAGUGGGAAACGAUGUGGGAAGGCACAGACAGCCAGGAUGUUGGCUUAGAAGCAGCCAUCAUUUAAAGAAAGCGUAAUAGCUCACUGGUCGAGUCGGCCUGCGCGGAAGAUGUAACGGGGCUAAACCAUGCACCGAAGCUGCGGCAGCGACACUAUGUGUUGUUGGGUAGGGGAGCGUUCUGUAAGCCUGCGAAGGUGUGCUGUGAGGGUUGCUGGAGGUAUCAGAAGUGCGAAUGCUGACAUAA